ACGCAGAGCGCGCGUAGGCAGCGCUGACCUUCCCGCUUCCAGCUGCUUGGGCCCGGGCUCUCUGCAGCCGUAGUUAUGCUCCUCCCACCUCACUUUUCUUUUCUUGGUUUCAAUCCCUGGUUUUGCUAGCAAUUCCUUGUUUCUGUUAAGCGGGAAAGGCGGACUGCAUUACCCAUGUUUGAAACUGGGUUUGCGAGUUUGGGAAGCAACAAGGGGUUACUCUGCUGGAAAACUUGACAUUGCAAGUAAAGGGAUUUAUACCCUAAGGUUCCACAAGCUCCGGUGCAUGGAAGAGAGGGACAAAGAAACCCGGAGACUCAGGAAGGUUGGUGGCCCACCUCUUCUUUCCACUAUAUAAUUCUACUUCUAGAAAGGCAAGUGGAAGAGUAGCCAUGCAAAGGAUCUAGAUAUAUGCCCAGGAGUGGAAUUGCUAGAACAUAUGGAAACCUUCCCCAAGGAGCUCCUGUUCUUGAAAGCAGCUGGACACAUUGACCUACCACUGCCUGAGUCCUGCGUCACACACUGUCACAGAGCAUCUUAGUUUUUGGAAAGAGUUUGUCUUCUCUGCCAGGCCAUGACAUACCCAGCCUUGAGACCGUGAGCUCCACGGGAAGCGGGGACAAUCUUUUCCCAGCACCCGAAGCAGUACCCGCUGCAUAGGGCACUCCAGAAAUGGAUGGAUCAACUGGAGUCACAGAGACCUGGGAGACGGGGCCUGGGACUGGCCAUGGGACAGGAGUUGUGUUUCCUAGAACCCGUCUUUCCUAAGGUGGACCCUGAGGACAUCAACCAUGCGGCAAAUGACUGCGACAAAGCAGGGGGCAAGGUGGGCCUCCAGUCUGCUCUGGGGACUCAGCUGGUACCUGAGAAGCCUCUCACCUGGGUAGAUGGGAAGAACUGCUGAGCUGCUUUGGAAGAGAAGGCCAGAACUACAUUAAUUCGCUCAGAAUGAGACCAGUGGGCCCUGUCAUGUUCAAGUUAUCAACAUGGCCUUUGAGCCCCAGGAGGCUCAUGAAGGGUCCUGGCAGUAAGAAGGCUCAGAAUGCCACCAGAGAGCGAUGGCCAUCUCUGCAUGCCCGCGUUCUGAGAAGUGGAAACAGUCCUCAGAGAAGAAGUACAUCUAAGCUCUAGUGAUGCCCCCCCUCAAAAAAAGGUGGGGAGCAGGGAAAAGGAGGAAAAGCAGAAAAACCAACUCCUUGGGAGCCCUCUUGGAAAGAGAUGGCCCAAAAAGUCCCACAAAGAGAAGGAAACACAUUGCCUAAGAUCUGGCUUCUACACACGCGCCUCCCAGACAUGCCCGUGGCUUACGUCAUUCAGAGGGACGAGAGUGUUCUGGAAGAAAGGCUGCGCGACCACGGCGAAGUCCUCGCGCUGCAGGAAUUGUGAGGAAGGGGAACAGAAGUACCAAGUAUCUGCGACCUGCGACCUCACCCUACCUGGGGCAUGAAGUUGGAGCCAGAAACCUGAGGGUCGUGGGUGUGUGCUGCGUUUCGGAGUUUUCUGUACGGAUGUGUGCAUAUACAUAAAGGCAGAGGUGUGACUACAGAACAACAUGAAUAAAUACAGACAGACAUGAAACAGACGAGGGAGCAUCCACACGAGCACAUAUACAUGCAAAACGGGCAGGUGAAGACCCAGAGAUCUGGUGCUUUUCAGGUGCAUUUCAUGUUGGAUUUGUUGACCCAGGAAUCUAAGAACCCCGGUUUGCUUUUUCUGCACAAUUAAAAGAAAAGGAUUAUUGACAGUAAAAUCACCAUUUACAUUUUGCACAAAUAUAUAAGUUUUCCUUCUGAAAGCCUCUUCCAGACUGGGUCCUUGCUCUUCGGUAUUUACGCAUUUACAGGAGACAAUCCCCCACCCACGCUCUGGGGGUGAGCAGGGGAUGGGAGGGGGUCAUGGGUUAACAUUACCUAAAUGACAGCCCUCGAUACUGAGUGGUGACAUCAGAAAGGUCAUCUGGUUUGGAGCCAAUUCCAUUGCCAGCCUUUGAAAACAUCAAAAUCCACAGGAAAAUCAGCAAGUUAGAGCAAAGGGAGGCUGUGUGCGUGCAAGGCUUUGGAAGAUGUCCCUGACGCAUGCAUCAUGGUGUGACCAGAACUUGCCACUUUGGAACUCAGGACAUCCAGGCUUGCGUUCUGUGGUGCUCCUUCCCAGCUGUGACCCUUCCCGGAUGCUCACCUGCCUCCUUACAGAACUGAAGUCAUGCCCUGCUUACUGCACAGGGUUGUUUUGAUGAUCAAAUUGGAUCAGAGUUGUAAAAACAGUUUUGAGACCUCUAAAGUGCUUUACAAAUGUGAGACACUGUUACACCAUCACUAGCAUCAUUCUGCUCCCGAGUUCUCUGUACAUGUGGAGGAAGCACCUGCAGUGGACAGAUUUCUCAUACGCUUCCCACUUCUCCUCUUUCCCUCUGGGACAUUCUGUGAGGCCAUCUUAUGGCCUCACAAGCAUUGCCGGGAAGUGGUGCUCUGGGAUGGAAAACAGCCGCAUUUCUCAGAACUUAAGAGCAGAGCUUUUGCCACAACUAUGGUGUCUUUGCUGCUUUGGGUACAGAUGCCAAGAGGAAACAGAUAUGAGGGUUGGAGCUGCUCAUCAAGUAUAAUCCAAAGGGAAAAGAGCGCUGACACAGGUAGCUUUGGAAGGUUUUUUGAGUCAAAUGACAAAAUUUUGCAAUUGUUAAAAAGGUGGCGUUAAGUGUUCAAAACCUCCACUGAGGCAAUUCAGUUUGCACCUGAAAAGGUUCCCCCUUGCACACUAGACUGAGAAAAGUAGCUGCAAGAUCAAACCUUUGCCAUGCUCUCAGACUGUCAGAAGCAGGACAGAGGGGCCAGGGAAUGCGAGGUAAAAAGUGCAGGCCCAGGGUUAGGUGGAUGGGGACCUGGAACUGACACAGCCACCCCCACCCCACAUGGGGCUCGAGAGUCCUUACGGUCAGAGAAUCUCCCAGAGCAGCCACGACUUGGAUGUCUGCUGGUCUCAGGGCAUGCACUGCAAAGACAAGCAGAAACACUUGAGUCCGUGGGAAGGAAGCUGCAGUCAGAGCCUGGUGAUUCUGGCUUUAAGUGAGACCAGAAACACGACCUGCAUGUGUUUGGGCCAUGGAGGACUCAGCCUUUAUGGUGCCAGGCUGGGAGAGGUUAGAUGGAAACACUCUUCCCAUAAGAGACCCAAUAAACGAUCCUGGACCUACGGGAAGGGAGCCAUGCUGAGAGUGGGGGAGAAGGGGAGGUGAGGAGGGGAGUGGGGAAGGGAGGAAAGGAGAGAUGGAGGGGUGGCCGGUAGGGCACAGUGGGAUCCCACUAUUUUGGUGCCAGUGGUCACGUGGGACACCAGCUGAGACAUGAGUGCACGGCCCGAUGGGCGCUGGGCUGUCUGAGCUGAGGCACAGGGCCUGAUGCACGGCUCAGGUAGAGCUGGGCUCUGGAUUUCCACCAAGGAUCUGAGAAAUAGCCAUGCUGGGCCUUUCCCUGUCCACAGGGCUCUUCUGAAGACUCCAGAGUUCUUUCCAGUCCUAUUGCAGAGCCUGGGCCCAGAGGGCCACCUGCAGAGCUGGCUCCCUCUUGGGACGCCCUAGGCACCCCACACCCCACUCCUGGGCCUCAGGAAGGUCACACCCCAGACUGGGCCUCCGAGAGUGGUGCUCAGGUGGCUCCUCCACUUGUGCUCCCAUAAGCAGGCUGAACUGGGAGGGUGGCCAACAGUCCCCAGCCCGGCCGCCUUGGGUCCUGUUGGGUAAGGCUUCACUACCAGGCCCAGGGGUCUCAGGCAACCAUGCAUACAGGGAGCAAGCACUCGCCAUAACUAAGUCAUUUAAUUAUGUUGCAAAUAUUAGCCACUACAUAUAAAAAUAGAUUAAAAAUGUUUUCUUCUGUAUAGCACAGGGAACUAUAUUCAAUACUUUGUAAUAACCUUUAAUGAAAAAGAAUAUGAAAACAAAUGUAUGUAUGUAUAUGCAUGACUGGGACACUGUGCUGUACACCAGAAAUGGACACAUUGUAACUGACUGUACUUCAAUUAAAAAAAAAAGAAAAAGAAAAGUCUCAUCAGGGCAUUCACUGCUCUGAGUCCUUGUGGAAGAGCCCUGGGUCCUGGUGUGCCACGGGGAGCUUACCUGAGGUGGGCGGCGAGGCAGAAGGGGCUCUGUCACUGCACAUCAGCCAG